GCAUCGAUAGCUCAUCGGCAGAGUUGUGAGGCGUUGACCCAUGCGGCCGGGUUCGAGCCCCGGUCGAUGCA